GACGAACGCUGGCGGCGUGCUUAACACAUGCAAGUCGAACGGAAAGGCCCUGCUUUUGUGGGGUGCUCGAGUGGCGAACGGGUGAGUAACACGUGAGUAACCUGCCCUUGACUUUGGGAUAACUUCAGGAAACUGGGGCUAAUACCGGAUAGGAGCUCCUGCUGCAUGGCGGGGGUCGGAAAGUUUCGGCGGUUGGGGAUGGACUCGCGGCUUAUCAGCUUGUUGGUGGGGUAGUGGCUUACCAAGGCUUUGACGGGUAGCCGGCCUGAGAGGGUGACCGGCCACAUUGGGACUGAGAUACGGCCCAGACUCCUACGGGAGGCAGCAGUGGGGAAUAUUGCACAAUGGGCGGAAGCCUGAUGCAGCAACGCCGCGUGCGGGAUGACGGCCUUCGGGUUGUAAACCGCUUUCGCCUGUGACGAAGCGUGAGUGACGGUAAUGGGUAAAGAAGCACCGGCUAACUACGUG
rnacentral:rRNA from 1 species